rnacentral:rRNA from 1 species
AUUGAACGCUGGCGGCAUGCCUUACACAUGCAAGUCGAACGGUAACAGGUCUUCGGAUGCUGACGAGUGGCGAACGGGUGAGUAAUACAUCGGAACGUGCCUAGUAGUGGGGGAUAACUACUCGAAAGAGUGGCUAAUACCGCAUGAGAUCUACGGAUGAAAGCAGGGGAUCGCAAGACCUUGUGCUACUAGAGCGGCCGAUGGCAGAUUAGGUAGUUGGUGGGAUAAAAGCUUACCAAGCCGACGAUCUGUAGCUGGUCUGAGAGGACGAUCAGCCAGACUGGGACUGAGACACGGCCCAGACUCCGACGGGAGGCAGCAGUGGGGAAUUUUGGACAAUGGGCGAAAGCCUGAUCCAGCAAUGCCGCGUGCAGGAUGAAGGCCUUCGGGUUGUAAACUGCUUUUGUACGGAACGAAAAGCCCCGGGUUAAUACCCUGGGGUCAUGACGGUACCGUAAGAAUAAGCACCGGCUAACUACGUGCCAGCCGCCGCGGUAA